rnacentral:rRNA from 1 species
GGAGGUGCUUCGUAGAAAAUUCCACCGCUUUGUGCACUACGACCUUCAAGUUUGGUACUAUCGCGUCCGCUUCCUUGCUGUUUCUCACGGAGAAUCUUACCCCUUCCAAGCCUUCCCGUGAGAGGAAAGUUGCAAACGCGGAUUUAGACUCCGUAUGCCAAUUCUACCUGUUUUGUGAGGUUGUAUGCAAACGCUACCUAGCUAUUGAAACUAUCGACGGACAUUAUUGUACGGGCUAAAAUCUGGACUAGAGGACAUUUGCGGCGGAUGGACAGGAGCGAGGAAGAGACGAUCAUGAGUGAUUCAGACCCUCUCCUCGAUAGGAAAGAUCAGUCAGGCUCAUUGCUCCAGCUCUCGCCACCACAGCCGGCAACCGUGACCGUGCUGGAGAUUGAGGAUGAGGAGACCGAUGGUUCUUAUGCCGCAUGCUGCCGCAUUUGCCUUGAGGCUGAGUCGGAGAUAGGUGAUGAGCUAAUAUCACCUUGCAUGUGCAAGGGAACUCAGCAGUUUGUUCACCGUUCAUGCCUAGACCAUUGGAGGUCUGUGAAGGAAGGAUUUGCAUUCUCACACUGCACAACAUGCAAAGCUCAGUUCCAUCUUCGAGUGGAAACUCUGGAAGAUAACUCAUGGCGCAAAAUAAAGUUCCGGCUCUUCGUGGCAAGAGAUGUUAUACUUGGUUUUCUUGCAGUUCAAAUUACUAUUGCUAUCAUUAGUGCAGUUGCAUACUUUCUAGACAGGGACGGAAGUUUCCGGAAUAGUUUCAGUGAUGGUUGGGAUCGUAUCUUGUCAAAGCAUCCAAUACCGUUCUACUACUGCAUAGGGGUUGUGGUUUUCUUUGUGCUGCUUGGAUUUUUCGGGUUGAUAGUGCACUGCUCAUCCUUGAACGACAACCAAGAUCCGUGCUUAGCUGGGUGCCGGAACUGCUGCUAUGGUUGGGGCAUCCUGGACUGUCUCCCUGCUUCUUUGGAGGCCUGCUUUGCCCUGGUGGUGCUCUUCAUCGUUGUGUUCGCUAUCCUUGGGAUUGCAUACGGCUUCCUCGCGGCGACUAUGGCCGUCCAGAGGAUCUGGCAGAGACAUUAUCACAUCCUGACGAAAAGAGAGCUCACAAAGGAAUACGUAGUGGAAGAUCUGCAUGGCAGCUACUCGGCCCCGAAGCUUGAGCCAGAGCAUGAGGAGCGGCUGAAAAUGCUGAAGCUACUGUAGGUGGCCCAUCCGCAUCAAGACCACUGUAAAUCCCGCCUGUAUUGCUGUGGGCCGAAAGAGUGUUUGGUGAGUUGGAUCGACUGUGAAAGAAAAUGCUGACGCGAUUGAAACUUGUAGCUUUCUGAAUUUGGUCCAUGCACCUGGUUCUGAUCUACUAGUUUUCUUAUUCCACUACCUUGCUGUUGCACACAUUACAGUUUUAUGCUCCAUACAUCUUUCACAACAAAAUAUGUAAGUUUGAGGCUGGUCUGAAAGUCAGCGAAGACGGUUCUCGGGAGGCCUUUGAUGAAGACAUAGGCAAACUGCGACGCGGUCGGCGCGUGGAGAACACGAACUCACCGAGGGAAACACGCUCGUGGCUGAAGCGAAGAUCGAUUUCCACGUGCUUGGUGAGUUGGUGCUGAACGAGAUUGCUUGACAUAUACUGUACAUGGCGGUCAUGUUGUCACACGUAGCUAUACAUGGCGUUCACGUCAUGUGGCGAGGCGGCGGCUGACGAAUCUUGGUGAGA